UACGUAGGGUGCGAGCGUUGUCCGGAAUUAUUGGGCGUAAAGGGCUCGUAGGCGGUCUGUCGCGUCAGGAGCGAAAACUCGGGGCUUAACCCCGAGCCUGCUUCUGAUACGGGCAGACUAGAGGUAUGCAGGGGAGAACGGAAUUCCUGGUGUAGCGGUGAAAUGCGCAGAUAUCAGGAGGAACACCGGUGGCGAAGGCGGUUCUCUGGGCAUUACCUGACGCUGAGAAGCGAAAGCAUGGGGAGCGAACAGG
rnacentral:rRNA from 1 species